GCUCGUCCUGCCCGGGCUCGCCCCGCGCCGCGCCGCUCCGCCGGGCUCGCCGCUGCCUCCCUGGCCGGAUGAAGGGCUUCUGCAACAGGCUGACCUUUUUGAGGAAUAGGCUAAACCUGUUGGAGAGCCAGAAUUUGGGACCUUUCCAAAAUCAUGCAGUCUGGAAAGCUACACGUAUUUUCCUUUGAGUAGAGGACAAUGAAAACACAGCAUUGGAGAUCACCAAGACUGCCUUCAAUUGCUUUACACUGCAAACAACCACUAAAUCCAACCUAAAUGCACAUGCACAAACAGAACAUUGCGGCAGGGAUGGGAAGAUUCUUACUAGUGACCAGUUGAGACUCCAAACUUGUUGAAGUGCUUGGAAACAGCUGAAAUACAGAAUUUUUUUAUCUUAAAGUGUAUUUGCAUAUACAGUAACACUGCACUGUUCAGACUACGAAUGUGAAUUAGUCUGCCACUGACUAUCUACUUAAAGAUGCAAGACCAAAUGUCAGUUAGAACCCCUGGCUCAUGUAGGAUUUAUACCUGUGUCAGUAGGGCUCCAUUUGCAUUACUUCCUUCUAUUCCAGCUGCCAAGCUGUCCCAAAUCAAGUGACUGAUACUGGUUUGCAACUUGUCACAGAAGGAUUAAAGUUACAGGUUUAUCUUUCACCAAGAUACUACUUUCAGUUUCUAAUUUCAGAUUAGAACACCAGAGUGCAAUCUCCCCAGCAUCUCUCCCAGGCAGCCAGUUUUACAUGUUGUUAAUGCUACAGUAUGCUGUCUGCAAGAUCAGAUAAACUAGCGGCUGUGUGGGCUCUGAGGAGCAGAGCCAAUACCUUUCUGUUUAUGCAUUUUUUCCCUAGAGCUCCGUUAGCAGUUGGAUUAGAUGAUCUGUAGACAUUUUCCUGUUUUAAUUUCUAUGGACUUCAAGACGCUUUGCCAAAAUCAUUGGGCUGAUACAUUAAAUACUAUCCUACCGCCUUCACGAUACCCCCACUGAAUCCAUAUACACCCACACCCACCUCCUCCUCCCCCAAAGAUGGUAAAUGUAGACAGCCUUUGAGUACACAAGGUGUGUUCUUAUCUGACACAGUAACUGUACCCCAAAACAAUGAGCUUUUUCUUUGUUCGUUGGUUACUUCCCUAGAUGAUUAAUUUAUCUUUUAACAACUGCUAAUGGGGAACUUUGAGAUAAUCACAUUCUCCUAUCAUGUAUUUAAAAUUUUUCCUUCUUGAUGUAAGAUAAUGUUAUCUAAGUAUAAUGCUGUGACAUGCAUAAAUGUGCAUGUCAUUUGUAAAACACUGAUAAGAGAAGUGUCCAAGCACUGGAAAAUUGGAAAUUCUCAAUCAUCACAAGGGUCACAACGAACAGCUUACAUUCAUAAUGUAUUUGAUUUUUUUUUUUUAUUUUUUUUUUUUGCAGUGUUAUUGUAGCUAUGUUGGUCCCAGGAUAUGAGAGAGAAUAUAGAUGAGGUAACAUUGUGAACUUAACAAUUGUAACAGAUGCUACUCUGAAACCUGUCAUGAGGUAACAUUGUGAACUUAAAUUCAUAGCUCGGCUAGACACCAUUGACUUAACAAUUUGCCUUUAUAGCUUACUACAACAGUUUGUAACAUACCACACUGCCUGAUACCCUUAAUUGCCCACUUCAACCCCUUUAUGCAUAACAAUCUAACCUGCAAAAAGAACAGGAGUUCUUCGGAUGCAUAUAGAAGUGGGCUGUAGUCCACGAAAGCUUAUGCUCUAAUAAAUCUGUUAGUCUCUAAGGUGCCACAAGUACUCUUGUUCUUUUUGCGGAUACAGACUAACACGGCUGCUACUCUGAAACCAAUCUAACCUGCAAUUGCCCACUUCAUUCCAAGUGACCAUCUCCACCAUGUGUUACCACGUCUGCUUUAUUCCACUCUGUAUGCAUCCGAAGAAGUGGGCUGUAGUCCACGAAAGCUUAUGCUCUAAUAAAUUUGUUAGUCUCUAAGGUG